GCCGGGGUGGCCGAGCUGGAUUAAGGCGCGGGACUCGAGAUCCCGUUCCCUUAAGGGAGCCAGGGUUCAAAUCCCUGCCCCGGCGCCA
rnacentral:tRNA from 1 species